GGAGGUAAAAACGACCCUGUUGUAGAAGAGGUUCAUUUGUUUUACGUGUGUUCAGUGGUGAAUUUAUAACCCUGAGGAGACACCUGUAUUUGUAGUAUUAGCAAACAUUAUUAUGAAUCGUAGAUGAACUGCAGCACAUGUAGACUUAAUGUACAAGCUGAAACAAGAUAAGGAUACAGGUACGAUACAGGUAAGUUACAGGUACGAUACAGGGACGAUACAGGGACGUUACAGGUACGAUACAGGGACGAUACAGGUACGUUACAGGUACGAUACAGGGAUGAUACAGGGACGUUACAGGUACGAUACAGGGACGAUACAGGUACGUUACAGGUACGAUACAGGGACGAUACAGGUACGUUACAGGUACGAUACAGGGAUGAUACAGGGACGUUACAGGUACGAUACAGGGACGAUACAGGUACGUUACAGGUACGAUACAGGGACGAUACAGGUACGUUACAGGUACAAUACAGGUACGUUAAAGGUACGAUACAGGUACGUUACAGGUACGAUACAGGGAUGAUACAGGGACGUUACAGGGACGAUACAGGUACGUUACAGGUACAAUACAGGUACGAUACAGGUACGUUACAGGUACGAUACAGGUACGUUACAGGUACGAUACAGGGACGAUACAGGUACGUUACAGGUACGUUACAGGUACGUUACAGGUACGAUACAGGUACGUUACAGGUACGUUACAGGUACGUUACA